UUUUUUUUUUUAUCAAUGUGGCUAACAUUUAAAAAUACCAUUACAAAUUCAUUGUAUAUUGACUUUGACCAAUAGCAAACAAUAUUUCUGUUUAUGCAAUGACAGAGAAUGCAAGUACUGACCUAAUGCUCUGCCCAAUGGAUCAUCAGGGAUGAAGCCUCCUAAGGCUUUAAAUGGAUACAAUUGGAGGAGUCUACAGUUUGCAUUAUUUUUUAAACAAAAAUCGGUAAUUGUCUACAAUAAGGGAGAAAUGUGCAAGUCAGAGAAAUACUAUCAUCAUCCCUCAGGAUAGUGCUAGAUAAUAACUCCUUACAUAAACUCACUUUACAAAUAACCUCUAAUAUUCUUGAAAAGCAAAAAUGCAGUUACUUUGGAGCAUGUUGUUAUACAGGCAUACCAUUCAUUUUUACAGUCCAAAAGCAUCCGAGUGCUUUAGGAUACAAAGUUCUUGAAUAUCAAUAAUCCUAGGAAAGCAGAAUGUUGACACACUAGUAAAGCAGCAGGUUUGUGAUACAAGGUUACGCUGAAAAGAAUGCAUUUCCCAUGAAAUCAUUUGCAGCCAAAGUGUGUAUCCAAUAUUCAUCUUAAUUUCACCUAGAAAUACCCUGGUUUAAAAGCGGCUCCCUAAUUAGGCGUCCGCCUAAACCCCCUUAGGGAAGACUGUGUCGGGUCCUCGGUCAGUGACUGUGGACCCGACACCAGGAGGGGCCUGGCGGCAUACUGCCCUCCUGUCUGCGCGGCCAGCCAUCACAGACACUGAUCUGGAGCUCCGCAGAGCUGCAGUCCAUGUGUCUCGCAAGAGCUGGCCAAUCAGAGCGUUGGCGCAGGUUACCACAGCAAUGCUCUGAUGGGUCUUGUGAGAUUGGAUGUCAUGGUCUCUGGACCACCAGGGAAUAGAAAAAGGUAUGUAGUCGUCCCCCCUCCCUCACACCAUCACCC